CGGGAUCUCACACUUGGUCUCUGCUGUGGUUGUUCGUGUCGCUUAGAUAGUGAGGGAGGUUGUUGAUCAACAUAGGCAAGUCUCAAUUACUGUUUGUUUCUAGCUUGGCGGCAUAUAAGUGAUUGAUUGGAAAGGUUAGAAGGUCAUCGGUGCUUUGCUUUUGUUCUUUUUCUCCUGUUGCCUGUGACUCUGUGUCUCUUCUCUAGUUGUUUGCUUUUGAUUCCUCAUCAACAAGGUAAUUAGGAAUAAAUUCGGCGAGUAAGACCUUUGCUUCAAUUUUAAGGCUUGGAAUAGGUCUGUGAUUUUUUGCUUUAUUUAUAUUAAUUUAAGAUUCUUAAAAGAACAAAAUUUCAGUUUGUAAUUUUGCAGCUGUUAUUGCAAUUUGAGUUUUGGCACAUCUAUUCUUCUG